GAGACACGGUCCAGACUCCUACGGGAGGCAGCAGUAGGGAAUCUUCCGCAAUGGGCGAAAGCCUGACGGAGCAACGCCGCGUGAGUGAUGAAGGUCUUCGGAUCGUAAAACUCUGUUAUUAGGGAAGAACAUAUGUGUAAGUAACUGUGCACAUCUUGACGGUACCUAAUCAGAAAGCCACGGCUAACUACGUGCCAGCAGCCGCGGUAAUACGUAGGUGGCAAGCGUUAUCCGGAAUUAUUGGGCGUAAAGCGCGCGUAGGCGGUUUUUUAAGUCUGAUGUGAAAGCCCACGGCUCAACCGUGGAGGGUCAUUGGAAACUGGAAAACUUGAGUGCAGAAGAGGAAAGUGGAAUUCCAUGUGUAGCGGUGAAAUGCGCAGAGAUAUGGAGGAACACCAGUGGCGAAGGCGACUUUCUGGUCUGUAACUGACGCUGAUGUGCGAAAGCGUGGGGAUCAAACAGGAUUAGAUACCCUGGUAGUCCACGCCGUAAACGAUGAGUGCUAAGUGUUAGGGGGUUUCCGCCCCUUAGUGCUGCAGCUAACGCAUUAAGCACUCCGCCUGGGGAGUACGACCGCAAGGUGAAACUCAAAGGAAUUGACGGA
rnacentral:rRNA from 1 species